AGGAGCCGUGUGCGGGGAAAUUCGCAUGCACGGUUCUGGAUUGGCGGUGGCGGGAGUGAUCCCGCUGCCGACCAUAC
rfam:Ktedonobacter racemifer DSM 44963 Krac_Contig203, whole genome shotgun sequence.